rnacentral:rRNA from 1 species
CCUACGGGUGGCAGCAGUGAGGAAUAUUGGUCAAUGGGCGCAAGCCUGAACCAGCCAAGUCGCGUGAGGGAUGACGGUCCUAUGGAUUGUAAACCUCUUUUGUCGGGGAGCAAGGCCCGCCACGUGUGGCGGGAAGGAGAGUACCCGCAGAAAAAGCAUCGGCUAACUCCGUGCCAGCAGCCGCGUUAAUACGGAGGAUGCGAGCGUUAUCCGGAUUAUUGGGGUUAAAAGGGUGCGUAGGCGGAAGGUUAAGUCAGCGGUAAAAUGUCGGUGCUCAACACCGGCCUGCCGUUGAAACUGGUCGUCUUGAGUGAGCGAGAAGUAUGCGGAAUGCGUGGUGUAGCGGUGAAAUGCAUAGAGAUCACGCAGAACUCCGAUUGCGAAGGCAGCAUACCGGCGCUCAACUGACGCUGAGGCACGAAAGCGUGGGGAUCGAACAGGAUUAGAUACCCUGGUAGUC